rnacentral:rRNA from 1 species
AACGAACGCUGGCGGCAUGCCUAACACAUGCAAGUCGAACGAGACCUUCGGGUCUAGUGGCGCACGGGUGCGUAACGCGUGGGAACCUGCCCUUAGGUUCGGAAUAACUCCCCGAAAGGGGUGCUAAUACCGGAUAAUGUCUUCGGACCAAAGAUUUAUCGCCUUUGGAUGGGCCCGCGUUGGAUUAGCUAGUUGGUAGGGUAAAGGCCUACCAAGGCGACGAUCCAUAGCUGGUCGGAGAGGAUGAUCAGCCACACUGGGACUGAGAGACGGCCCAGACUCGUACGGGAGGCAGCAGUGGGGAAUAUUGGACAAUGGGGGAAAGGCGGAUCGAGGAAGGUCGCGUGGGUGAAGAAGGUCUUCGGAUGGUAAAGCACUUUAGGUGGGGAGGCAGGGAAGGAAGUUAAUACCUUACGGUAGUGACGUUACCAACAGAGUAAGCAACGGCUAACUUCGUG